AUGGCGACCGUGAUGGAGGCGGCUGCUGCUCCGGCGAUGGUCGGAGCUGGCGAGGAGGUGAAGGAGGCGGUUGCUGCGCCGGAGAAAGUGGAGGAGGUGAAGGAGGCGGUUGCUGCGCCGGAGAAAGUGGAGGAGGUGAAGGAGGCCGGUGCGGGCGAGGAGGUGAUGGAGGUCGCCGCAGGUGAGGCAAAGGAGGCGGGUGCGGGCGAGGAGGCGAUGGAGGUCGCCGGCGGUGAGGCGAAGAAGGCGGAGGAAGGGGGUGAGGUGAAGAAGACGGAGGGGGGGCAGGGGAAGGGGGAGGAGAAGAAGCCGAGGAGCAGGAAGCCCCGGUCGGCGGGGCCGCACCACCCGCCCUACUUCGAGAUGAUCAAGGAGGCGAUCAUGGCGGCGGGCGACGGCAAGGCGGGGGCGAGCGCGUACGCGAUCGCGAAGCGCGUGGGGGAGCGGCACGGGGAGGCGCUGCCGGGCAACUACCGCAAGGUGCUGGCCGCGCAGCUCCGGAGCUUCGCCGCCAAGGGCCGGCUCGUCCGCGUCAAGGCCUCCUUCCGCCUCGCCCCCGCCGAGGAGAAGAAGGCCCUGCCGGCCAAGAAGACGACCACCAACAAGGCCGCGUCGAAGAAGGCGCGGCCGAAGAGGGCGAAGAGGGCGGGGCCGCCGCCGGCGAAGCCGAAGCCGAAGCAGCCCAAGUCGAUCCGCGCCAGGAAGGCCAACAAGGCCAGCGCCUGA
rnacentral:rRNA from 1 species